UACAGAGGGGGCAAGCGUUGUUCGGAAUCACUGGGCGUAAAGGGCGCGUAGGUGGCGCGACAAGUCAGUGGUGAAAGUUCGACGCUUAACGUCGAAUCGGCCACUGAUACUGUUGGGCUUGAGCACUGUAGAGGCUAAUGGAAUUCCGGGUGUAGCGGUGGAAUGCGUAGAGAUCCGGAAGAACACCGGUGGCGAAGGCGGCUCGCUGGGCCAGUUCUGACACUCAUCCGCGAAAGCGUGGGGAGCAAACAGG
rnacentral:rRNA from 1 species